rnacentral:rRNA from 1 species
GACGAACGCUGGCGGCGUGCUUCAUACAUGCAAGUCGAACGAGAAGCUGACGUCGGUCCGUGGAAAGUGGCGGACGGGCGAGUAAGAUGUAGGAAAGCUGCCUUUAGGAGGGGGACAACAGAGGGAAACUUCUGCGAAUACCCCACAUGAGCGUAGCUGAAAUGCUAUUCUUGAAAACUCCGGUGCCUAAAGAUGAGCCUGCAUCUGCUUAGCUAGUUGGUUGUGUAAUGGACUACCAAGGCGACGAUCAGUAGCUGGGUUGGGUGGAUGACCAGCCACAAUGUGACUGAGACACGGCCCACACUCCUACGGCAGGCGGCAGUAGUGUAGUUUGCGCGAUGGGCGCAAGCCUGACGCAGCCACGCCGCGUGAACGAGUCCGCCCGUCGGUGUGUAAAGUUCUGUCAUUGGGGACGAAACUUGACGGUACCCACAGAGGAAGCACCGGCUAACUCCGUG